CAGAACGAUUACGACGCCAUUGGGCCGCCCCUCCCUCGCUGGUCGAGGGUGGUUAGUGGAAGCAACCGCCAUGGGUUCCUUUUCAUCCGCGCUGACUAAAUCCAUUGCCAUCGCGCUUCUUGUGAGGCCCAGAGGGAGCAUGCGAAGGGGAGAGGCAGCACCAAAGUUGAAGCGAAUCCAUAGGCGUACCAGUGUGUCUCCGGUUCCUUGAUGCGGAGACAAUGGUGUGGUUGACCGUAGGUGUGUGUCCUCGGAGGAGCUUGGAUGAGAAUCUCACAUGAAGAUAAGUCGACUUUUAAUUCAACGAACCCUUUUCUGCAAAAGCUUGUGCCCCAGUGGGGGAAUUAAGGAGGUAAGAAGGGGGCUCUCGGGGAAACGCACUGUCUAGUGGGGACCCGUCAGUAGCCUUACCGACAGGGGCAAUGAAAUGGUUUUGGUUGGGAUGUGGAUGGCUUUCAGGAGUGAGACGAUCAUGCAUAGAAGGACGUCUUUGUUAAGCUCUUCGUGUAUACGGUAUGAGGUUUCAGGUCUCAUAGAAGAAAAGUGGGGCCAAGUAGGGCCUAGUUUCUCUUUUGCAUCUUUAAAGAGGUCCUUAGCAUAUUAAGUGGUAUCGUUCCUGCCUAACGUUGCAGGCCCAUCAUAGAGAACAGAAAUGUUUGUAAUUUGUUCAUUUCUGUCUCUAGCUGGCAAGAAUGAGUCUAGCACUUCCAAGCAAGAUUGUUCUUUUUCCCUUUUUUGUUUGCUUUAUCCAGAGUCUAGCCAGAAAGAUUCAUCUCAAGGUAUUACUUACAAUUGCUUUCCUUUAUCAUACGCUUAUAUCUUACUUGAACGCAGUUAACGUAAUUUUUGCUCAUGUAUUUUCGUUAAAAGUUACAAAGCCUAAGAUAGUCCAUGAAUUUGGGGGAAAUUGGUCCAUGGGGUUUACUUAGCUGCGGGCUGUGCUAAGGGUAGGACCUGGAUUUAAAACACCGUCAGUUGUUUAGACUGUUAGAAACUUUUAUUUAGGGCCAAACCUGCAGCAUAUGGAAGUUAGGCCAGGGGUUGAAUGAGAGUUGUAGCUGCUGGCCUACCCCCCAGCCACAGCAACCUAGAUCUGAGUCACAUCUGCAUUGUACACUGCAGCUUGCAGCAGUACCAUAUCCUUAACCUACUGAGCCAGGCCAGGGACCAACCCUCAUCCUCUUGGAUACUCUUUGGGUUCUUAACCCACUGAGCCACAAAGGGAACUCUAGAAACUUCUCUAUCACUCAACGAAAUAAGGCCUGAAUGAGGCUAAAUGGAAAUAUAAAUAAGUUUUCAGUUAAAAAUUGGUUGCCUUCUUUGGGGGAGGGGUGUAGGUAAAGCUGUAACACAUACUCCAUACAGUUAACCAAGUGCACAGUUCGAUGGUGUUUAGUAUAUUCACGAGCUGUGCAGACACCAGCAUAAUCAAUUUUAGAACGCAUUAGCUGUCACUCCUUGUAUUCGCCCUCCCACAGCCCCGGGAAAUCGCUGAUCUUUGUGUGGAGUUGCUUAUUUGGGAUACCUCAUGUAAAUGGAAUCAAAUUAAUGUGUGGUUUUUCAUGCCUGGCUUCUCUCGUUGGAAUAUUUUUAAGAUUUAUUUUUGUAGUAUCAGUACUUAAUUUCUUUUCAUUGCCAAAAAAGAUUCUAUUUUGUUGAUGCAGCACAUUUUAUUUAUCCAUUCAUCAGUUGAUGGACAUUUGAGUUUCUUUGGGGGGGGCUGUUAUGAACAAUACUGCUGUGAACAUUAGUGCAUAGGCUUGUGUGUGGGCAUAUGCCUUCAUUCCUCGAGUGUAUACCUAGGGGUGGAAUUGCUGGGUCACAGGUUAACUCUUCUGUUUAACCUAUUGCGGAAAUGCCAAAUUUUUCUCCAAAGUGGCUGUACCAUUUUACAUUCCCGCUAGCGAUGGGUGAGGGUUGCAGUUUCUCCACAUGUUCUUGGAUGUGAAGUGGUAUCGUCGUGGUGGUUUUCCAUUUUUAAGGAUUCAGAGUUUGUGAGGAGCUUGCUAGAGGAUAAUCUUUGAGUGAAGAGGCUGUGUAAGACGAAUUUGUCUUUCCAGUCCCUGGCACACAAAUAGACAUACCUGUGUUUCUGCUAUGAUCUCACUUGUGUUCGUGAAAAAAAACUCUCAUGCUCAGGAAAAUUGUGCAUUUGAAAGAAGCAGGACUUAACGGGAGGAAUAGGCUCAGGGUUGACUACUCAAAACUCCUGGGCUUGGAUAACCUGUACCUGGGAGGUACUCUUAUGCCCUCCCAACCCAUUAAAAAGGUAACUUUAAAAGGAGACUUAAAGUCUCCAUUUAACAGUAAGAUGUAUUAAAAGAGCAAGGUUGGGGGCUGCUGGACGUUACAGAUGGAAGGAGAGCUUUGGGUGAAUGGGCUGCUGUUAGACGGACUCAGAGGUAAUGUAACCUGCUGUGAACCUGGGGAGCAGGAGGAGGUGGGUGUUGCUCAGGAGGGAGCUCCUGGUGCAGGCCGUCGCUUUUCGUUUUAAGAUAGAGCUGAGGCGUUCCCUUGGUAGUUCUCAGCCAGUUAUGUUGUCUCUGAGGAUGCUGGUUCAAUCCCUGGCCUCACUCAGUGGGUUAAGGAUCUGGCGUGGCUGUAAGCUGCGGUGAAGGUUGCAGAUGCUGCUAGGAUCCUGGGUUGUAGUGGCCUCGGCUGCAGCACCGAUUAGAUCCCCAGCCUGAGAACUUCCGGAUGUUGCAGGUGCGGCCAUUUAAAAAAAAAGAAAAGGCUGAACCUAUCUUGCUGCUGCCAAUUCAGCAUCAGAGUACAAAGAGGACUUUUUUCCUUUUAUUCUGAAUUGAUUCCUGAUUCUGUGGCUCUCGCUUUAUUCUGACAGUAUUCUUCUAAUUAUUAAUUACAGAUGAGGUACAGAAAACUGCUCUGCUGCAGGACAGAUUUACUUAAAUGUAGACCCGCUAGAUGAAAAUAAGCAACUCACUUUACAGAAGCCACAAGGGGUCGCUGCUCGGGGUGUUAAGUGUACUUCUGGAUGGGGAAGAAUUAUAUUCUUGGAGAUGUUGAAAAAAGAUUCCUGGGUCUUGGAAAAUAAUUACUAGAAAUAUGCAGGUGAGGUGGUAUAUCAUUUUUUAAUGUAUUAAGUAUUCCUGGAAUAAAAACAGUGAGUUGGAAGAGGGGAGGGUUGUUCAAGUUGAAAAAUGGAUUUAUAAAGGCUUGAGUGAAAUCUCAUGUCCUAUUUUAUGGUAUAGAAUCUCAUUAAUUUGUCUCUUUCACACACACAUAGUUCUCUGUUUUUGUUUUAAAUACUGCUUAUUUCUCUCAACAACUCUGAAAACAAAUAGAUUUUUUUACCUUCUAGGACUGGUCUCAUCCUUAUUGAACACCUACCUUUUUCUCAGCUUUUCAUUGGUUUUUUUUUUGGUCUUUUGAGGGCCGCACCUGCGCCAUAUGGACAUGAGGAAGUUCCCAGGUUAGGGGUCAAAUCGGAUGUACAGCUGCCAGUCUACAUCACAGCCACAGCAAUGUGAGAUCUGAGCCGUGUCUGCAACCUACAGCACAGCUCCCAGCAACGCCAGAUCCUUAACCCACUAAGCGAGGCCAGGGAUCGAACCUUCAUCCUCAUGGAUGCUAGUCAGAUUUGUUUCUGCUGAGCCACAAUGGGAACUCCUUUGUCAGCUUUUUAGCAAGUUUUAUGGGAACAUUUGUCAUCCUGAUAUGAUAAAAUGUAUUUCUAGUAACUGACUUAUAUUCUUGCUGCAUUUUUCAUCCUUUCAGUUCUCUGGGUUUUUGUUUUGUUUUUUGUUUGUUUGUUUUGGAAAGCCUUGGGGUCUUGAAAUUUUGGGUGACUAAAUAUAAAGACAGCCCUGAAUCUGAUCUUUUCCCAAGAAUUUUAGACCUUUUCAGCUAAUUCGUAAGUUGUACAUUUUUUGGAUAUGGACUGUGACUUUCUGGGUUAGUUAAUUAUUGCUGUGUAACAAAGUACCCAAAACUUUGCAGUUUAGGACAGCAUGCAGUUUAGGACAGCAAACACUUAUUGGGUAGGAGGGCGAGGAGGAAGGGGAAGGACCUCAGCUUCCCAACUGUCUCAGUUGGCGAGCCUCCGUUCCCACACGGCUGUUGGCCGAAGACCUCAAUUCUUCUUCGCUGUGUGACCCUCUCCGUGGGCCUGAGUGUCCUCGCAGGACAGCUGGCUCUCCCCCGAGGGAGUGGUCCCGGAGAGAAAGGCUGCGAUGGAUGCUUGUUUUUCCGAUAGUCUUAUUAGAAGUGAUGGAACAUCACUUCUGCCCUCUUCUGUUGGUCCUGCUAUAGUGCAGGUGGGCACUGUGCACAGGUGUGACUACCAAGAGGCGAGGGGUCGUUGGGGACAUCUCGGAGGUUGACGGCCAUGCUUUAGUUAAACUUUAACUGUUUCAGUUUAGGAAGUCAAGAGAUGUAACAUCGGGCCCUCAAAUGGGAGCAUUAGAAGUAUGAGAGCACACGGAUUCAAAGAAGUGCUCUCUUUUCUAAGAUGCAUGGUUUCUUGCUUUGUGUAUGUAAAGUACUUAAGCAGUGCUACGCUCUUUCUGGAGAGUUUCUAAGGAGUCUAUGAGAAAGUUCAUUUUAUAGUCAGGACACUCUACCUUGAUUAAAUGAGAUUUUUCUUGGACCCAUUUCCCCUUUCCUAGGUGAAGGCUGCGAAGAGGUUAGUUGGAACGAGACUAUAGAUAGAAAUUUUCUGUCCCUUCCCUGUUAUUUUGCUCGGGGUGCAGGUUGACUUAGAAAAGUUGAAAUUUCUGUUGAGAAUUUUUCAAGGAAUGUAGUCUAAUUCGUUAUUGGCAGUUACACAGGUAUUUGACGUAACAUGGAGUAAAGAUGCAAAUACACAGCAGCAGAGUUAGAGGAGGUUGCCUUUCCCCCCAAAGCUUGAAUUUUAUCCAGUGUGUGCUUCUGAUCAUUGGAAACCUUGUCUAACAACAGAAACAGCAUAUAAAGCAUAACCAGCUUUGAAAUGUAUUAAGGCGUGGUUGCCCGUCCCAUGUCAGGCUUGAUGUUGAAAAGACGACACUGCCAAGUUAGCAGAAGAAACAAAUCGAAGGGUGUUGUUCUCCAAGAACACCAUUUAUCAGAUUUAUCAAGAAUUCAAAGAUUUAUAUAAUAAGGUAAGAGGUUUAUAAAUGUUUUCGUUUUGACAAAAGCCAAAAAAAUCAAAUUUGAGCAAAAAGACAUUUGAGCAAUGUGGAUAUUGUAUUCAAUUAAAAUUUCUCCUUAUUUUUUCACCUUUCAAAGACAACAAAUAGGAUUUCAAAGAUAAUUUUCCAAAUCAAUAGAUUUGGUUCAGGAUAGGCAUUUGGGUGGAUGGGAAGCUGGACUUUGAACCUUGAUAGUCAUUUUUUCUUAAAAAUAGUGAUAGAGUUCUUUCAAGUCCUGAAAUUCUUAGCAACCUUGUGUUCUCGGUUUCAAUUUGAUGAAUUAUUGGAUAUUAGUGUGCCAGUGGACGACCAUCCUAUGACUUCAGCUUUGUUCAGGAACAGUAGACAGGUCAGAAGCUGAGAAUCUUGAAUCUAAUCCCAGAUUAAUCUGUCCUUAAUUAAGCAUGUUAUCUUGGGGUGUUUCUCAAAUUUGAGGAGUGUGGGGGGGGGUUCUUUUAAAUAUUCAAUGUCUAUUUAAAUUAAUUUUGUUUCUUAAAAUUUCUGUAAACGUAGGUUGAUAUAAACUGUGUUUGUGACCCUUAAUGAAAACGCUUACAAAAUAAAUGCACUUGAAAACAAAGUUUUUCUUUUUUCUUUUUGUCUUUUCUAGGGCUGCACCCAAGGCAUAUGGAGGUUCCCAGGCUAGGGGUGAAAUCAGAGCUGUAGCCGCCGGCCUACACCACAGCCACAGCAACGCAGGAUCCAAGCCGUGUCUGCGACCUACACCACAGCUUAGGGCAAUGCCGGAUCUUAACCCACUGAGUGAGGCCAGGGGUCAAACCCGCAACCUCAUGGUUCCUAGUUGGAUUCGUUCACCACUGCGCCAUGACUCCUGAAAAUGAAAUUUAAACAUUAAUGGGAUGGAUGUCACUGUUUUACAGCAGUAAACAUAGUGUUAUCUUGCUGUCCAGUGUAUUUUACACACAGUCUGGUGCCUUGUCAUGAUUACAGUUUCACAUACAUACAAAAAUGUGGUUGUCCAGAACUUUCACUCUUUUGCAGACUUCAGGAUUAUUGAAAUGACGAGAGGGGGCUAAUUCUCAAAAGGAUGCCUUUGGACUGUGCAGAUCCUAAUUUGAAGAAUUCUCUGUUACAUUAUCUACACAUUCUUCUAGCUCCAAUGAGUGAUUUAGAGUCUUGGAGUUAACAUUCUUUUGAAGAAAGCUUCAGUUUUUGACGGGUUUGGCUUGGCUAGUAGUUAACUGAAUUGGAAUAAAAGUGGACUAUUUUGCGAACUAAUGCUGGUUUUUCUUUUUUGAUAUAGGUAGUCCGUCCUUUGCACCAUUUCAACAUAUGCCUGAAUAUCAGUUUUCACACUGUAGACAAUACCUGUCCCCCAACGAGACUGAACUUUUAGUCACAGUACUAACUGAAUUAUUCCGUAAACGUUGCUGCUAGCUCUUUAUUCCAGAAUCAUUAUGCAAAUAAAAGAUGUGCCUCAUGAAUCUACUUUGGAUUGAGGACUGUAAUAAAAAACAGUUACAUCACU